rnacentral:rRNA from 1 species
CCUACGGGAGGCAGCAGUGAGGAAUAUUGGUCAAUGGACGAGAGUCUGAACCAGCCAAGUAGCGUGAAGGAUGACUGCCCUAUGGGUUGUAAACUUCUUUUAUAUGGGAAUAAAAUGUUCCACGUGUGGGAUUUUGUAUGUACCAUAUGAAUAAGGAUCGGCUAACUCCGUGCCAGCAGCCGCGGUAAUACGGAGGAGCCGAGCGUUAUCCGGAUUUAUUGGGUUUAAAGGGAGCGUAGGUGGAUUGUUAAGUCAGUUGUGAAAGUUUGCGGCCUAACCGUAAAAUUGCAGUUGAAACUGGCAGUCUUGAGUACAGUAGAGGUGGGCGGAAUUCGUGGUGUAGCGGUGAAAUGCUUAGAUAUCACGAAGAACUCCGAUUGCGAAGGCAGUUCACUGGACUGCAACUGACACUGAGGCUCGAAAGUGUGGGUAUCAAACAGGAUUAGAUACCCUAGUAGUC